AUGCCGACGCCCCGAUCUCUCCUGCUGCUGCUCCUCCUGGCCACCCCCUUCCUCCUCCUCCCCCACGCCGCCUCCGCCUCAGCCCCCACCUCCAAUCCGGACAUCGACCUGGAGUACCUCAUCAAGAACGCCGGCCUCGACGACGCCCCAGCUGCCACCGCCACCGACGACCCCGAGGACGGCGCUCCGAACUUCCCCGACCUCGACGCCGACUACGAAGACGACGAGGAGGACCUCUUCGGCGACGACGACGGGCCGGAGGAGUCCUCCCACUCCCACUCCUCGGCGGCCGACGAGGCCCACGUGCUCCUCCUCACGGCCGCCAACUUCACCGCCAUCCUUGCCGCGCGCCGCCACGUGAUGGUCGAGUUCUACGCGCCCUGGUGCGGCCACUGCCGCGCGCUGGCGCCCCACUACGCCGCCGCCGCGUCCGCCCUCGCCGCAGACGGCGUCGACGUGGCGCUGGCCAAGGUGGACGCCACGGAGGAGCACGAGCUGGCGCAGGCGCACGGCGUGCAGGGCUACCCCACCCUCCUCUUCUUCAUCGACGGCGUGCCCAGGGACUACGCCGGCGAGAGGACCAAGGACGCCAUUGUGGCUUGGAUCAGCAAGAAGCUGGGCCCUGCGGUGCAGAACCUCGCCGCCGUCGACGACGUGGCUGUGCUCGCCUUCCUCGACCACCUCUCGGGUGCGCACAGCGAUGAGCUUGCUGCUGCUUCAAGGCUGGAAGAUACCGUCAGCUUCUACCAGACCACCAGCCCCGAUGUAGCCAAGCUUUUCCACAUUGACCCGGAGGCAAAGCGCCCAUCAGUAGUCCUGCUGAAGAAAGAGGAGGAGAAGUUGACCGUUUUUGAUGGCGAGUUCAGAGCUUCUGCGAUUGCCGAGUUCGUUUCGGCCAACAAAAUCCCAUUGAUCACCACCCUCACACAGGAGACCGGCCCUGCGAUUUUCGAUAAUCCGAUCAAGAAGCAAAUUUUGCUGUUUGCUGUUGCGAAGGAGUCCUCAAAAUUCCUGCCCAUCAUUAAGGAAACGGCAAAAUCAUUCAAGGGGAAGCUUUUAUUUGUCUUUGUGGAGCGUGACAAUGAGGAGGUUGGCGAACCUGUCGCCAAUUACUUUGGAAUUACUGGAAACGAGACCACGGUUCUUGCUUACACUGGGAAUGAGGACGCUAAGAAGUUCUUCUUAAGGAUGGUAUCAAGUAUCAUUGUUCAAGAAAGUACAAUGUUCCUUACAAAAAUCUUUCUACUUGUUAAUACCCAGGAAUUUGCUCAAGAUUUCCUGGAGGACAAGCUCACACCAUCCUACAAGUCUGACCCAGUACCUGAAUCCAACGAUGAGGACGUCAAAGUUGUUGUUGGCAAGAGUCUAGAUCAAAUAGUUCUGGAUGAAUCAAAGGAUGUCCUUUUGGAGAUAUAUGCACCAUGGUGUGGGCAUUGUCAGUCACUGGAACCUAUCUACAACAAGCUGGGCAAGUAUCUCCGUGGCAUCGACUCCCUUGUAAUAGCCAAAAUGGACGGCACAAACAAUGAGCACCCCCGUGCCAAGCCCGAUGGAUUCCCCACGAUACUCUUCUAUCCAGCUGGGAAGAAAAGCUUUGAGCCUAUAACUUUCGAGGGGGACCGGACGGUGGUGGAGAUGUACAAGUUCCUCAAGAAGCAUGCCGCCAUCCCGUUCAAGCUCAAGCGCCCAGACUCGUCAGCAGCGCGGACCGACAGCGCUGAGGGCCCAGGCUCCUCAACCGGGCCCGAGAAGAGCUCCGGUUCCAACCCAAAGGACGAGCUGUAG
rnacentral:rRNA from 1 species